UACAGCGGGAAGCCACCUGGCGACAGGGAGCGGAACCCGAAAGCCUGUCUCAGUUCGGAUUGGAGUCUGCAACCCGACUCCAUGAAGCUGGAUUCGCUAGUAAACGCGCAUCAGCCACGGCGCGGUGAAUACGUUCCCGGGCCUUGUACACACCGCCCGUCAAGCCAUGGAAGCCGGGGGUGCCUGAAGUGCGCUGCCGCAAGGAGCGCCCUAGGGUAAAACCGGUGACUGGGGCUAAGUCGUAACAAGGUAUC
rnacentral:rRNA from 1 species